AUAGGUUUGCCCAUAGGUCAGGAGUGGCCAUAUAUAACUCAGAAGGACAUGAUUGGCUUCUAAGAAACACACUGGCUGUUCUGGCCGUUGGCACUUUGUGAGGACGGUCAGGGAUGCUUGUAUCCAUGUCUUCCCUCUGUCCUGCUUCCCUCCUAGUCCAGGGUCUGUAUCUUCUCCCCAGCCUCCGAAACACCCCCUUUUAACUUUCCCUUUGGGAAAGAAAAUGGUAGUGGACCCUGGACUGGAGAGCUUCUUCGAAGACGCUUGUAUUUCUAAAAAUGAAAGCACCUCAGGAAAGCUCUGCUCAGCCACAGAUCAAGACUAUUAAAAAACGUAACUUCAAGCAUGCGGGGUGGUGGUUGGAAGUGUUUAGAAGCAAGCACAUUUAGGGCUGGGGGGUGGGGUGGGGUGUGCUUACUUUAGGCGCAUGAGUUUGAUCUCUAGCACUGACAUUAAAAAAAAAUUCUGGGUACAGCCUCAUACGCCCAUCUUAAAGCUGGGAAGGCAGACACUGGGAGAUACCUGAGGCUUUGUGGGGACAGCCAUCCUAGGCUAACCAGAAAGUCUCAGUCUCCAGCCUCAGGGAGAGACUUGCAAAACAAACUGUGUGGAUCCUGCAGACCAACAUUAAAGGUUGACCUUUGGCCUCUACACAUACUUAUCCCCCCCCCCCCCCGCGACCCCCAACCCACAAACCUCAGCACUAAACUCUUCUUAAGCUAACAAAUUGUUUGUAUUGGAAUCUCUGCCCUGGGAGGGGAGAACAGCCUCAUAGGCAGGAGUCGGAGUUUCAGCUUCCCCUGACGUCAGAGGGGGGCGCCCCCUGUCCGACAUCUCUGCCUUUGGAAGCGUCUCCCCAGCUAGGCAGCCACUGAGUAUUUACUGAGCACCCCUCCAUGAGGGUGAACCUCUCUAAUGUUACGCAGGAGUUAGGAACCACCACAUCUAGAUGGCUCACAGCCUUAGGAAGGAGCUAGCAUAGCCAGCUUUGGGGGACCCAGAAGAAAGGUCUCCCAAGGGAGGGAUGCAAACAUUUUCUUGGCUGCUGCUCUGGUUCCCAGCUGUGAGCAGGGGCGGGGGGGGGGGGGGGGGGGAGCCACUUGUGAAGCCCAGCCUUCACUAGAAAGCUCUACCACUGAGUGCGUUCCCCACGCCCUCCCUCCCUUUCCAGGCAAGUCUGGGGACUUGUUUGAGGUGUGAGCUGUGAAGGUAAGGCUGGGGAUCAGAGCCUAGUGAGCUAUUUGCAUAAGCACCCUAUUUCAGGUGAAAGGUAAACCCACCCUCUCCCACUCCCACCAAGAACCCAGACUUUUAUACUUAGGGGUCAUGAUAAACCUUCCUGAAGAGAACCCCUCCUUCCGAGGAAGCUGGCCAGCCCCGGUUUCUGCUGGAGUUUUUGCUGUGGGUUCCACUUUGUGCCUCCCUCCCUGUGAAGCGCUGGCUCUGCAGGCAGAGCUGCUGAGGGCUUCACUCAUUUCACACUCGUGUGUCCUUUUUGUGUGGGGACUAGAACACUGGUACGUCGUCACCAAAAGAGCCAGCCUGCCCUAGCUGCCCACAGAUGCCACCCUCCCCCAAGACCUGUGUUGCUGCAUCAUCAGGUAGAAGUCUCGCCAUCACGGAUACCUCAGACCCACUUUCAAGUCUCUGCUAGUCUAGCGCGCGCCCUAGGCGGAGCCUUCCCACCCCUCACCUGGCAGAGCAGACACUAGCCACCACUAGUGAACACUAGCGAAUACAGCCCUGCCAAGGGGCACAUCUGAAACCUAACGAAAGUGACAAAAUGGAAUUGAGACCCAAGGUUAAACCAAGGUUAGAAGCAGAUUAGACACCACUCGGAUGCUGAUUCGGACAGCGGAAGUCAGCUUCUGAACUCCAAAGUCAUUUCUUCUAAGUACCCAACAGCAUCACCAUCCCAAAAGAGAAAAAAAAAAGGCAGUAUUAUGCAAAUGAAGUGACCUCAUUUUUCUGCUAUGCAAUAAGAAUUCUUAAUUGUAUCUCAUGACAAGCCAGUUGUAAUAUCCCCUCAGCAGAAUUUUUUUUUGAGCUGUUACACUUUGAUAUCUGUUGUGUAAUGUUUGUAUAUCUCUGAGCCAGAUCCUUUCAAAGAUUGCCUUUUUUUUUUUUUUUUUUUUUUUUUUUUUGUAAAAUUGAAGCUAUAGCUUUCAGGCUACAGUUUUAAUGUAGAUAUUCUUAUAGGUAGUUUUCCAGGACAUUCGAAUCGCUUUCUAUCGUCCAUGACAAUGAAAUGCUGUUCUGUGUGUCGCUCACCCCUAGCAGUGUGCGCCUGGAGCUGUCCUGCCUUUGUCUUUCUCCCUGUCUCUCUCUGUCUCUCUGUCUGUCUGUCUCUCUGUCUGUCUCUGUCUCUCUCUGUCUCUCUGUCUCUGUCUCUGUCUCUCUCUCUGUCUCUCUCUCUCUGUCUCUCUCUCUCUCUCUCUUCUGUCUGUCGCAGAACCCUUCUGAGCUCCGGGCCCUCAGUGGUCUAGGAAGGUGACUGACUUCCAAGACGCCCGUCGCGGGGCUUCCUUUCUUAGUUCCCAGGGACUUACGUUAAGUGUGACUCAGUGCGUACUAUGUCUCUCAUCUCUGUGUGCUCAUGGAUCUGUUUUCUGCAGGGCUGGGUUGGCCCACGCGGCAAUGGUUCUUACUGCCCGGCCCUCAGGCCCACACUCCCUAGGUGGCCUGGAUCCUGCAGACCUUGCCCAUUCUCCAGUGUCUCCUUGCUUUUGGAGGUUUUUAGUAUUCAGGGCCUCCUUGACUGGGUCCUGUUUCUUUGGGAAGCUUGCGUUCCCAUCACUUCGGAUGAGCCGUUCUUUGGGAGGGUGGUUGGUCCUGACUCGUGGGAAGAAUGCGCUAAGCAGAUUUUUCAUUCGAUUUUUUUUCUUUCUUUCUUGAGCUGUCUUCAUUCCAGGUUCUGUUUUGUGUAUUUAUCAUCUGCCGCAGGCCUCUUGUUUCUCUUUUUAAAUCUUAACUUAUUAUUUUGGGGACAGGUGCCAUUUAAACCGCCUCCAUGCCUCUUCCUGCUUGACCUGGGCUGGAUCAAGUUGGGAGGCUGAGUAAACCCAUUAAGUUGGACCAGAGCAUCCAAGGCUCUGAUGAAUGGAAGCAAGGAGAUCAGAGUGCUUUUUGUAGGCUGUGUGUGUGUGUGCUACUUAAGCCCCUUGUGUUCAGCUGCACUGUUAUCUACGGAGCAAGCAGAAAAUCCAGCAGCACUUCCGACAUAUGGGGACAGGAGAGGCUACUCGGUGUGGGUAAUCCAGCCCUCGAGGCCCUGUGCAGCCUUUACUGUGGGACUCAGAGACUCCGGGCUGUAGCAGCAGCCGAAGCAGGAACGCACGGGGCUGCGGCAUCUGCAGGAAUAAAUUGUUCUUGUGCUGUUUUUGCCUUCAGUUAUAAGAUUGUAAAUUAUUUGCCCCCCACUUUGGUGGUAAUAAAGGACCCUUGUUGGACUUCUUGUUUAAUUUGUAUAUGAUGUGUAAAAUAUCUUCUUUGAAAGAAAACCCAAGGCAUGGAACGAGAAUCUCUCUGUGAAUAUUCUGGCUCUCUGCUGGAUAUGGGCCGUCAGACUGGACACAGGCACGGGUAAAGUCCUUGAUCUGGUAUUUUCUGCGUGGAUGUUAGGGACCAUACACCAUGGAAAAGAACACUUGCCACAUGAACAAUACAAUAAAAGCCGAGAAACAUUCCCCCAAAUGUAUUAUUUUUAUAGCAGUCCAUUCCAGCUCUCCACACUGUACAUGGCGUUUUAAUAAAAGCCGAACUGUGCAAAC
rnacentral:lncRNA from 1 species